rnacentral:misc_RNA from 1 species
UCAUAGCCCAGAUUGAGCGGCGUGUGUGAGCUCUUUUCUUAGUUUCGGCGGCUGCGGAGCAGCCGCCGAAACUAAGAAAAAGCGAGUAGCGAAAGCUGGAAAAAGC